rnacentral:rRNA from 1 species
AGUGAACGCUGGCGGUAGGCCUAACACAUGCAAGUCGAACGGCAGCACAGUAAGAGCUUGCUCUUACGGGUGGCGAGUGGCGGACGGGUGAGGAAUACAUCGGAAUCUACUUUUUCGUGGGGGAUAACGUAGGGAAACUUACGCUAAUACCGCAUACGACCUACGGGUUAAAGCAGGGGAUCUUCGGGCCUUGCGCGAUUGAUUGAGCCGAUGUCGGAUUAGCUAGUUGGCUGGGUAAAGGCCCACCAAGGCGACGAUCCGUAGCUGGUCUGAGAGGAUGAUCAGCCACACUGGAACUGAGACACGGUCCAGACUCCUACGGGAGGCAGCAGUGGGGAAUAUUGGACAAUGGGCGCAAGCCUGAUCCAGCCAUACCGCGUGGGUGAAGAAGGCCUUCGGGUUGUAAAGCCCUUUUGUUGGGAAAGAAAAGCAGCAGGUUAAUACCCCGCUGUUCUGACGGUACCCAAAGAAUAAGCACCGGCUAACUUCGUG